UCCACCGAAGGCACGAACCGACUUUCUUCCGCUCUCCGCCGUCUUCGGUUGGGAUUUAUCAAGGCGGCCACGGCAAUUGAGAAGUUAAAGCUCAAAUCUUGCACCGUCCCGCGAUACGCACGACGUGCGAAAUCGAAGCUAUCUUCGCCUCUCACCUAUUGAUUCGAUUCUCUGAAGGCCGAGCUCUCUCUUUCGGGACCAAGUUCAGGUUGCAUUGAUCACUUCCAGCGAAGAUGUCGAUGUUGGUUUCAAGCACUAUAUCCUCCAUCCCUCAACUACCAAUAGUUAGAGCAGGUGCUUGGUUGCAAGGGCAAACUAAAGACUUGCCCACGGAUCUCCGCAUGCAAUCUCAAAAUCUAUACUCCCAAAGGCGAAAAGUAAAGCUCAUUGCUUCGAGUCCAGCUGGAAUGGGUUUACAACUAGAACCUACUGAUAGGAGAUUUGCCAAGGCUUCAGUUGGAAGGAGAUCGGCCUCAGCCAUCUGUUUUGCAGCUUUGAAUGCAAGAUGUGCCGAAGGGCAAACCCAGACUAUCACGCACAAAGCUCCGACGAUUACUCAAGCACCUACUCAUGUCCAGGAGAAGUCGCCACAGCUCGAUGAUGGUGGGACAGGCCUCCCGCCUCGUGAUGACGGCGAUGGUGGGGGUGGCGGGGGCGGCGGCGGUGGAAACUGGUCAGGUGGGUUCGCCUUUUUUGGCUUCCUCGCUUUCUUGGGCUUUUUAAAGGAUAAAGAAAGUGAAGGGGACUAUAGGGAUAGCAGGAGAAGAUGAAACUGGGUAUGAUGAGCUUGUGAGUCUAAUCUUCGAUUACCUCGACGGAAGUCCGCUUAGCAAGCAUAAUUGUCUAUACCGUUAUUAAUGCCAAAAUAAUUCCGAAUGACACAAUGCACUCUUAUUUGACUGAAUC